GCCGAGCCUUGUAACGUGGGCUUGUAACCUAAGUGGGAGCAACAAUGUGGUGGGAUGUUAGGCUAUUCCAGAUGGCUGGACUUUGGUUGCCAUUAGUAUGGCUUGCCCUGUCCAAGCACGGAGUUGAGUCACGUGGUUCAAAUGAAAGUAUGGACUGCUUGGCUCUUAGAGUGGGGUGGGCUGCGUAAGGCUGGUUUCAUAGAGCAACGAAUAGCUCUCGCUCUGUGCAGUGGAAGGAUAACGAGUCAGUGCUCUCCAAGUUCUAUAAAAACCCGAUGGACUCCUUAAUUAAACCACCACUUCU
rfam:Solanum lycopersicum cultivar Heinz 1706 chromosome 6, whole genome shotgun sequence.